rnacentral:lncRNA from 1 species
ACAGAACGAGAGAGAGAGAGACAGAACGAGAGAGAGAGACUGACAAAACGAGAGAGAGAGACAGAACGAGAGAGAGACAGACAGAACGAGAGAGAGAGAGAGACUGACAAAACGAGAGAGAGACAGAACGAGAGAGAGACAGAGAGAAGGCAGGAUGGUCUCCUGGGACACAGAUGAAAAGCGGCUAAUGUGAUGUAGCGGGCACUGAAAGGGCACCAGCCGGCACGGCAGAGAGAAGACCAGUAAACGAUAUGGGGUGUGCAGAGUGAGAAUGAAGGAAGGGCUGAAGAGACGCAAGUCUCAGGAAUCCCUGAAGUGGACGUGACAAGGAUGAAAUAGACAGUGAGGGAGGGAGCUAGGCGGGGGGACGGAGAGAGAUUGAGUCAGCGAUACCAUCCCCCCUUACUCCUCCUCCUCCUACCCUUCUUCCAUCAAGGCUUUGAAGUGGGACUGUCUUGCACUGGGCUCUGAUGUCCAGAGAUAGCAGGACAGAGGAUGACAGAGAGAAGGAGAAGGUCUGAAAGGGAUGGGAGCAGGGAGAGAUGAGACGUUAUUAGAUUAGCAGACCUUAACAAGGGUAUUUCAGGACUAACUGAGGACAUUCAUUUAUCUGUGGGAAUAGUGAUGUGAAUAUACAAAUAUGUAUAGUAUUAUAUUACUUAUACAAAGUAAAGAUGGCCAAAUAUGUCCAAGGGAAGCAUUGUUGUUUCAUUUCUAAAUGUUAACAGACAGUCAAGUUAAGAUGUGUCAUCCAAUGUGUACCUGGCCUGGCCAGACUCAGUCAUGCUGUGGUCUCCCUCUGCGGUUCUAUUUGCUGCUUUCAGUUAUUUUAUGAUAUACGGGGCACGGUCACAUCUUGUUAGGUUGACAGUUAGUUAUUUUAUGAUAUACGGGGCACGGUCACAUCUUGUUAGGUUGACAGUUAGUUAUUUUAUGAUAUACGGGGCACGGUCACAUCUUGUUAGGUUGACAGUUAGUUAUUUUAUGAUAUACGGGGCAUGAUCACAUCUUGUUAGGUUGACAGUUAGAGCUUCUGUUCUGGAAAUUCACCUGGGAAUCCACCUUAGGCAUCGGUGACAGAAAUACAGAUCCUGUGUGUGUGUGUGUGUGUGCACGCGUGUGUGUGUG